rnacentral:rRNA from 1 species
GAUCAACGCUGGCGGCGUGCCUAAUACAUGCAAGUCGAGCGAACGGACGAGAAGCUUGCUUCUCUGAUGUUAGCGGCGGACGGGUGAGUAACACGUGGAUAACCUACCUAUAAGACUGGGAUAACUUCGGGAAACCGGAGCUAAUACCGGAUAAUAUUUUGAACCGCAUGGUUCAAAAGUGAAAGACGGUCUUGCUGUCACUUAUAGAUGGAUCCGCGCUGCAUUAGCUAGUUGGUAAGGUAACGGCUUACCAAGGCAACGAUGCAUAGCCGACCUGAGAGGGUGAUCGGCCACACUGGAACUGAGACACGGUCCAGACUCCUACGGGAGGCAGCAGUAGGGAAUCUUCCGCAAUGGGCGAAAGCCUGACGGAGCAACGCCGCGUGAGUGAUGAAGGUCUUCGGAUCGUAAAACUCUGUUAUUAGGGAAGAACAUAUGUGUAAGUAACUGUGCACAUCUUGACGGUACCUAAUCAGAAAGCCACGGCUAACUACGUG